rnacentral:rRNA from 1 species
GACGAACGCUGGCGGCGUGCCUAAUACAUGCAAGUCGAGCGCACAGACGAGGUGCUUGCUCCUCCGAGGUUAGCGGCGGACGGGUGAGUAACACGUGGGGAACCUACCUAUAAGACUGGGAUAACUUCGGGAAACCGGUGCUAAUACCGGAUAAUAUUUUUAAACACAUGGUUCAAGAGUGAAAGAUGGACUUGCUUCACCCUAUGAUUAUCCCGGCGCGGAAUUAGCUAGUUGGUAAGGUAAGGGCUUACCAAGCCAACGAUCCGUAGCCGACCUGAGAGGGUGAUCGGCCACACGGGAACUGAGACACGGUCCAGACUCCUACGGGAGGAAGCAGUAGGGAAUCUUCCGCAAUGGGCGAAAGCCUGACGGAGCAACGCGGCGUGAGUGAUGAAGGUCUUCGGAUCGUAAAACUCGGUUAUUAGGGAAGAACAUAUGUGUAAGUAACUGUGCACAAAGUGACGGUACCUAAUCAGAAAGCCACGGCUAACUACGUG